rnacentral:lncRNA from 1 species
GUCCUUCCUGGUCUUUUGUUAACUGAUCACCUGUCUGGGCACCAAGAAUUGACAGCUUCAACUGGAAAACUCAUUUAGGUGGAGUUCUGAGCAAGUCUGCUAAUGAUGAACUUCCUUCUUCAGUUCUUGACAGAAACCGUCUCCAGUGUUUCCAUUGCCUCAACGCAGCUCGGAGGACUUCUCUGCCCACUGUGGUCUGGCUCCCCCCCCUCCUCCCCGGCACCCACUCCUCCUGGAAGGGCUGCUCCUGCCAAGGUCGUCAACAACCUCCUUGCUCCAGACCAUGCCCAGCGCGCCUCCUUGGUCCGCACUGUCCUUGUCAUCCUGUCUCCGGGGACCAGCUCCCAGGCUCGGCUCCUGCCUCUGCACCGCCUCCCUCUCCAUCUCUGUUGCAGGCUCUCCUUCCCACCCCCGGCCUUGAACACAGCCCUCCUCUGCUUUUUCCCCAUCACAACGGGGCUAUUUCUCCUGUGUGUCGCAGGCACCGAAUUUCAUUAUGUCACAAGCGGAGCGAUGCCUCUCAUACCCCCACCCAUACCUGCCCAGACCUGAGAGCUGCUGUCCUAUGCUCCCCGCCCAGGAAAGCCACCAUCGUCCACAAGGGGGCUUGUCCCCUCCCCUCCCCCACCAUCCCCCACAAAUCGUUGCCCAGAGCUGCCCUUGACCUGUCAGAUCCCCUCACCUCUGCCUCCUUCCAUCCACCCCGGAUGCCACGAUUCCUGCCUGGAUUCCUGGAAGUGCCCCCUCACUAGUCUCCCUUCUCUCCAACCACUUCUCCAAACCACAGACCGAAUGCUCUUUCUAAAAUGAAAAUCUUGGAGUUCCCAUGGUGGCUCAGCAGGUGAAGAACCCAACAUAGUGUCCAUGAGGAUGCGGGUUCGAUUCCUGGCCUCGCUCAGUGGGUUAAGGAGUAGGCAUUGCUGCAAGCUGCAGUGUAGGUGGCAGAUGCUGCUGAGAUGCCAUUGCUGUGGCUGUGGCUAGGCUGGCAGCUGCAGCUCCCACUGACCCCUAGCCUAGGAACUUCCAUAUGCCGCAGGUUCAGCCCUUGAAAGAAAAAAUAAAAUAAUAAAAUAAAA